rnacentral:rRNA from 1 species
UGCUAGAGAGCUAGCCCAACUAACACACCAACCAUUAUCUAUACAUAACUAGAACAAGCCUUAAGUCUAACCACUAAAUCAUUCUCCCCCCUUAGUACGGGUGACGGAAAAGGGGUUAUGGAGCUAUAUAUACAGUACCGCAAGGGAAAGCUGAAAUAAUAAUGAAACCAUUCAAAAGCCACAAAUAGCAGAGCUCAUCACUCGUACCUUUUGCACCAUGAUCAAGCAAGCCCAACCCAGGCAAAGUGCGCUUUAGUCUGACACCCCGAAACUAGACGAGCUACUUCAAGACAGCCCAUUGGGGCAAACCCGUCUCUGUGGCAAAAGAGUGGGGAGAUCUUCAAGUAGAGGUGAAAAGCCUACCGAGCCUAGUAAUAGCUGGUUAUCCAGGAACUGAAUGUAAGUUCAGCCCUCAUCCCUCCCUCUGCCAAACUGACCAGGAUCCCAAUUUGGCCCCACUGAGCUUGAGGAGUUAGUCAAGAGGGGUACAGCUCUCUUGAAAGGGGAACAACCUUCACGGGCGGGUGAAGAUCACGUAAACCAAGGCAUCGAGGCUAGGUAGGCUUAAGAGCAGCCAUCCCUAUCGAAAGCGUUAAAGCUCAAACUCAAUUUAGCCUAUUAUAAGGAUACUAUUAUUCUUAUCCCCCCAAUUCUACUGGAUCAUUAUAUUCUUCAAUACAAGAGAUGAUGCUAGAACUAGUAAUAAGAGGUACCGAACCUCUCCCUGCAUAAGUGUAACCCGGAAUGGACAAGCCCCCGGACCUCAUCCGACCUCAACACCAGAGAGUAAUGAUGCACUGAUAAAGCCCUAGAAGAGUGAUCAAUAAAUAUCGUUAAUCUUACACAAGUGUGCACACUGGGAAAGACUUAGAGACGGGGAAGGAACUCGGCAAACUCAUGCCCCGCCUGUUUACCAAAAACAUCACCUCUUGCAAAAUUAGAAUAGGAGGCCCCGCCUGCCCGGUGACUAUUAGUUUAACGGCCGCGGUAUUAUGACCGUGCAAAGGUAGCGUAAUCACUUGUCCUUUAAAUAGGGACUAGUAUGAAUGGCGAAACGAGGGUGUAACUGUCUCCCCCAUCCGGUCAAUGAAACUGAUCUCCCCGUGCAGAAGCGGGGAUGAACACACAAGACGAGAAGACCCUGUGGAGCUUUAGACCUCUGGAGUAUACCCCUUUUCCCUCAUAUAAAGUUUGGAAACUCUGGGUGUACCCUCCCAAGACUGUCUUUGGUUGGGGCGACCGCGGAGAGAACACUACCCCCCGCGUGGAUGAAGUGAACAACUUUUUAACCUAGAGCUACACCUCUAAGUGUCAGAAUAUAUGGCCUUGAAUGAUCCGACUAUUCGAUCAACGGAACAAGUUACCCCAGGGAUAACAGCGCAAUCCUCUUUCAGAGCCCCUAUCGACAAGAGGGUUUACGACCUCGAUGUUGGAUCAGGACAUCCUAAUGGUGUAGCCGCUAUUAAGGGUUCGUUUGUUCAACGAUUAAAGUCCUACGUGAUCUGAGUUCAGACCGGAGAAAUCCAGGUCAGUUUCUAUCUGUGACAUGACUUUUUCUAGUACGAAAGGACCGAAAAGGUUAGGCCCAUGCUUAUGGUACGCCUGCCCCCUACUAGCUGAAACUAUAUAAAGCUGGUAAUAGGGCAGGGGAGUGCGCCAGAGAGCAUGGCUA